rnacentral:rRNA from 1 species
AUGCGAUAAGUAAUGUGAAUUGCAGAAUUCAGUGAAUCAUCGAAUCUUUGAACGCACAUUGCGCCCCAGGGCAUUCCUUGGGGCAUGCCUGCUCGAGCGUCACAUAGAAACCCCCUCACAAGCUUUUGUGGUGCUGACGGAUGUGGCUCGGCCCCCCGACCUGGGGGAGCCCCACACCGUUGAAAUGGAUCCGGCGGACGCAACCCUCCUCGCCCAAACUGGCUUAGUAAUGCUCGAUACCUAGUCGACCAGCCAGGAGUAGGGUUGACGUCUCGCCCGCAACAAUGGACCCCCCUCCGUCCGUCAGGAUGAGGAACCUAGGGUUGACCUCGGAUCAGGUAGGGAUACCCGCUGAACUUAAGCAUAUCAAUAAGCGGAGGA